CACCAUGUGGAUCGUUCAUCUGCCUGCAGGAAGCCAGGAACCAUGCAUUGUUGAAUGUUAUUGGGAUCCACAGCCAUAUUGUGUUUCUAUUUUGGAAUUGUGAUAGUUUUUAAGGAUAAUCCAAAAUAGUAUACAUGACUAUCAAUUUCAGAGAGAGGGAUUAGUAAACAACUACAAAAUGUUCUCUUUCGAUUUCAGGCCAUCCCCAUGUCAAGUAGAGAUCAAAGAAAUAGAUGAAGCGAAGCAAUGAAUCUAGGGCUGGCAAAAACUGACCCGACCUGAACCCGAUCCGAAAAAAGCGGGUUAGGGUUGAGGUUUCCGACCCGAAAACUUAAAUGGGUCGACACGAACCCGAACCCGAAAUUAAAUGGGUUAGGUUAAGGUUGAAAAUCUCAACCCGAAAACGACCCACUUAACCCGAAAUAAAUUUCAGGUCAAAAUCAGGUCGGGUCAACCCGAACCCGACCUGAUAACCCGAACUAAUUUAAGUAAGAAAAAGAAAAAAAACGUAAAAAGCUUAUUAAGCCCAGCCCAAAUUCACAAAGAGGCUUCCAUAUAUAAAUUCAAUACCCUAAAUGAACUCAUUUCCCCUCAUUGAAAAUCAGCCGUUUUUCCCCUCACUUCUCUCUCUUUAAUUUUCUCUCUCCUCAAAAACUCAUUGUUUAAUUCGAUAGAGGUAGUUCCGUUAAGCCCAACUUUACCAUUGUCAUUUCCUUGACGGCUUGAAUCCUUCACUCCUCCACGAAUUCCUCUCCUUCAUCAAAGGUUUGGCAGCAAGAAGUAGCCCACCAAUGUUCAAUUGGAAAUGUUGUGGAUCAAUUUUGAAGCUUGAGGUGGUGAACAAGGAUGACAGCCAUGACAAAUUGACAGUCCCAACAUCGCCCGAUCUUAAUCCAAAUGAAAUCUUAUUGCAUCUUCUAUUAUUUUUUGAAAACUGUAAUUUGUGUUAUUAAAACUUUAUCUUUGGUUUGUAAUUAGUGAAUUACAAUUUUUAUUGGUUUAUUAUCGUUAAGUAGGAUUGUUACUUUGUUAGACUAA